GAGACUAGCACUGAGCAUAUUAUUAUUACCUUCUUUAGAUUAACAUUUCAGAAAUGGUACUUAGUUUUCAACAUAACAAUGCUCAAUUUCAUCAGUUUUUGUCGAGCGUAGAUGUAUUUUUAUACCAUAUCUCAAAAACUGUAAUAGCUACAGCUAUUUUUUAGG